ACACAGUAGUACCGCUUUUUUUGCCUUUGAGACAGGACUUCCCCUUGUCUCCCUAAAUUGUCCUAGAAUUUGCCUGCUUCGGUCACCCGAGCGCUGGGGAUGCCAGGCAUGGGCCACCGCAGCCAUCCUUCAAACAUCAAGGAAGUAACUUUCCCCGCUUAAGACCUCAGGGCCGGCAGAGAAUAAAACUUUGCAGGAAUCAUCAGGUGAAGCCACGCCCACAAUGUUUUGGACCCGAAAGUGUAGACUUUGUUCCUGAGAUGGUUGGACUCGGGAAACUAUCUCCUAACGGAGACAAGCAGAAGUGACCAUCAUGCACUGAGACCAGGGACUCCAAUGACAGCUCAUGCAGAUCCCAGAGGAAUUUGGGCUUUGUCCUGCCUUCCUGAGGUGUCCUGUGCAGAAGGUGUCAUAAACAGGCUCACUUCUGAAGGGGAUUGAUCCAGGAGACUUUCUGUAGCAUCCUGUUUAGGGCAGAAACGUUGGGAGCCUAUGGAUCUAUAGGAGCAGAGAAGUUCCUGGGACUCAAGAAUGUCUCAUGGUAUAUACCCCAUAGGAACAAUAUUUCUCAGGACAUCUAAGGCCCCCUGGUGUCCUGGUGUGUCAAUGUCUGGAAUCUUGCUGCUACCUCCAGAAUGUUGGAGAAGAAAGCAUUUAACUGGGGCUUGCGUACAGUGUUGGAGUUAGCUCAUGACCACCGUGAUGGGAAGCAGCAGACGUGGCACUGGAGCAGUAGAGAGUGUUGCACGCUAAUCCAUGGGCAGCAGGUUUGCAGCUAGACUGAAUGGAAGUGAAGUUUCCUCAGAUCCAAUAUGGUCACACACAGCCCCUCUGCAGACAUCAUGCACAGAGCAGAGUCUGCGCCAACUGCUUGACCUACACCAACAAGCAACUCUCCCAAGUCCACGGUUUCCACAACCCAGUGGCUUAAUAAUUCUUUGAUGCUGCAUGAUCUGUCCCCAUAAAGGACCGGUAUGGCAGCCUCACAGUCCCAAACCAUCCCCAGCAGCCACUGCUCUUCGCUCCUGUUCCUAUGAUAUUGUAUUUUCUAGGCUAUCACACAAAUGAAAUGAUGUCACGUGUGGCCUUCUCAGUCUGCCGUUUAAGGGAACGCAAAAGUGUCUCUUUGUUCCCCGGGGCAAGCCAGAGACAAGUAGCCUCUGGAGCCAGGCAUGAAACUUGAGGCAGGAACAGCUGUUUUAAGCCCAAGGGAAACAUGUGCCAAAGAGGCCACGCUCCAAAUAAAGCUUUCUCAUCUAACUGCAGCAGAACACUCCAGCUAUACACACACACACACACACACACACACACACACACACACACACACACAGUGACCCAGUCACAGGCGUACAGUAGCAAAGGCCAUCUCAGCAGACAAUAAAAAUGCUGAUUCUCCACAGAGACAUUCACAAACAGGACUGUGAGCCAAGUCAGGAAGCCACAGCUGUCUGGGGAAAUCUGAAACCCAGGCUCAGUCGCUCAAAGAUGCUUGGAACACUGCAGCUUCUCACACACUCCCUACACAUGAAAGAAAAGUCAAGUGCCCAACAGCAGGGAAAACGGGGACUUCAAAGGACCUCAAAGGCUCAUCCCACUUACAUCU